GCAGAAGGAAAAUAUGGGGUUGGAACUC
rnacentral:piRNA from 1 species